GAUGAACGCUGGCGGCGUGCCUAAUACAUGCAAGUCGAGCGAACAGAUGAGAAGCUUGCUUCUCUGAUGGUAGCGGCCGACGGGUGUGUAACACCUGGGUAACCUACCUAAAAGACUGGGGUAACUCCGGGAAACUGGGGCUAAUACCGGAUAAUAUUUUGAACCGCAUGGUCCAAUAGUGAAAGACGGGUUCGGCCGACACUUAUAGAAGGACGCGGGCCGGAUUAGCUAGUUGGUAAGGUAACGGCUUACCAAGGCGACGGUAAGGAGCCGGCCUGGGAGGCUGAUCGGCCCCACUGGAACCGAGACACGGGCCAGACUCCUACGGGAGGCAGCAGUAGGGAAUCUUCCGCAAUGGGCGAAAGCCUGACGGGGCAACGCCGCGUGAGUGAUGAAGGUCUUCGGAUCGUAAAACUCUGUUGUUAGGGAAGAACAAAUUUGUUAGUAACUGAACAAGUCUUGACGGUACCUAACCAGAAAGCCACGGCUAACUACGUGCCAGCCGCCGCAGUAA
rnacentral:rRNA from 1 species